AGAAUUAUAUUAUGAAAACUCCUCCCUCUGUAUAUACAGGAAUAGGAAGAGAGGAAGAUGUUCCCGAACUAUCAAACGCCCGGCCUCCCUGCCUCAAAAAAAUCUCUCCACUGCCCAGAGUGGCUCUCCCCUGAGCAACCACCGCCGCGCCCCUUGCCGUCGAUACCGCCCUUGGAUGGACUCCCCCCAAGCUCCGGUCCACUCCCACCCAAAUCCCGCCGCCACUACACCUGCCGCCCUCCCAACUCCUCCAGCCGGUUUCUUGUGGCUGCUGCCCGCCAUCGUCAUCUACCCCGCAU
rnacentral:lncRNA from 1 species